rnacentral:lncRNA from 1 species
AUGAUAGGGGAAUCUCUGGUAGGAGGCGUUCAAGGAGGGGUGGACACUGGAGACCACAGCUGUAUGCAGCUGCUACAGCAGACACAAACGGAUGCUAUGGUGGACCUUGAUUUGAUGACUGAAGACAUUGUCCCCCCCCACAUUGAACUUGAAGUUCAACAAAAUAAUUCUGAAGAAGAUCUUAGUCUCUCACAACUAAUUUCAGAAUCCAUCCUCCAGCCCACACCAGUGAUGACACCCAGCAUGGAGGACAUGAUCUGUAUUCAAAGAGACCUUUUGGAGGAAGUGCGAGGACUUAGAAGGGUUCAAGAGCAACUUCUACUGGUGGAGAGAGAGAAACUGCUCUUGGCCAAAGCCAAAUUUGAGCUAAAAAAAAAGGAAUAUUAGGAAGAAUGUAUUAGUAUUAGUAAUAAUAUAUUAGAGUAUUAUAGAGUAUAUUAGAGUAUUGUAUAUAUAUUAGAGUAUUAGAUUAUAUUAUAUUAGAGUAUAUUAGAGUAUUAUAGUAUUAUAUUAGAUACAUAUUAGAGUAAUAUAUUAUAGAUUAGAG